rnacentral:rRNA from 1 species
GAUGAACGCUGGCGGCGUGCCUAAUACAUGCAAGUCGAGCGAACAGACGAGGAGCUUGCUCCUCUGACGUUAGCGGCGGACGGGUGAGUAACACGUGGAUAACCUACCUAUAAGACUGGGAUAACUUCGGGAAACCGGAGCUAAUACCGGAUAAUAUAUUGAACCGCAUGGUUCAAUAGUGAAAGACGGUUUUGCUGUCACUUAUAGAUGGAUCCGCGCCGCAUUAGCUAGUUGGUAAGGUAACGGCUUACCAAGGCAACGAUGCGUAGCCGACCUGAGAGGGUGGUAGGCAACACUGGAACGGAGACACGGUCCAGACACCUACGGGAGGCAGCAGUAGGGAAUCUUCCGCAAUGGGCGAAAGCCUGACGGAGUAACGCCGCGGGAGUGAUGAAGGUCUUCGGAUCGUAAAACUCUGUUAUCAGGGAAGAACAAAUGUGUAAGUAACUAUGCACGUCUUGACGGUACCUAAUCAGAAAGCCACGGCUAACUACGUG